CCAGCAGCCGCGGUAAUACGUAGGGGGCUAGCGUUAUCCGGAUUCACUGGGUGUAAAGGGAGCGUAGACGGUUAUGCAAGUCUGGAGUGAAAGCCCGGGGCCCAACCCCGGGACUGCUCUUGGAACUGCGCGGCUGGAGUGCAGGAGGGGCAGGCGGAAUUCCUGGUGUAGCGGUGAAAUGCGUAGAUAUCAGGAGGAACACCGGUGGCGAAGGCGGCCUGCUGGACUGCGACUGACGUUGAGGCCCGAAAGCGUGGGGAGC
rnacentral:rRNA from 1 species